rnacentral:rRNA from 1 species
CGGGUGAGUAAUACAUCGGAACGUGUCUUCUAGUGGGGGAUAACUGCCCGAAAGGGCAGCUAAUACCGCAUGAGACCUGAGGGUGAAAGCGGGGGAUCGCAAGACCUCGCGCUGGAAGAGCGGCCGAUGUCCAAUUAGCUAGUUGGUGAGGUAAGGGCUCACCAAGGCGACGAUCGGUAGCUGGUCUGAGAGGACGACCAGCCACACUGGGACUGAGACACGGCCCAG